CUUGGUCAUUUAGAGGAAGUAAAAGUCGUAACAAGGUUUCCGUAGGUGAACCUGCGGAAGGAUCAUUAGUGAAUUGAGCUGGCUUCGGCCGCUCUGAUCUAUACACACCUGUGAACUGUUGGCCUUCGGGUCUUUAAAUACAACUGUGACGAACGUAAAUUAUUAUAACAAAUAAAACUUUUAACAACGGAUCUCUUGGCUCUCGCAUCGAUGAAGAACGCAGCGAAAUGCGAUAAGUAAUGUGAAUUGCAGAAUUCAGUGAAUCAUCGAAUCUUUGAACGCACCUUGCGCCCGUUGGUAUUCCGACGGGCAUGCCUGUUUGAGUGUCGUGAACAACCUCAACCUUGAUUGGUUUUACCAUCAAGGCUUGGACUUGGGUGUUGCUGCUGCAAAGUGGCUCGCCUUAAAUCUAUUAGCUGGACUUGUCUAUGACUUGGUUCGACUCGAUGUAAUAAGUAUUCAUCGGGGACAGGGUAACACCUGGCCAAGGCUUGAUGCCGUCUGCUUCUAAUCAUGUUCUCACUAUGAGACGCUACUUUACUGUGUGGCCUCAAAUCAGGUAGGAUUACCCGCUGAACUUAAGCAUAUCAAUAAGCGGAGGAAAAGAAACUAACAAGGAUUCCCCUAGUAACGGCGAGUGAAGCGGGAUGAGCUCAAAUUUGUAAUCUGGUGGACUCAGUUCAUCCGAAUUGUAAUCUAUAGAAAAGUUUUCCGCGCUGGACCGUGUCUAAGUCCCUUGGAACAGGGUGUCAGAGAGGGUGAGAAUCCCGUGCUUGAUACGACCACCAGUGCUAUGUGAUACUUUUUCAACGAGUCGAGUUGUUUGGGAAU
rnacentral:sRNA from 1 species